rnacentral:sRNA from 1 species
CAGAAGGGACUGCCUUCCCCUCAGUGCUCGCUCCUCCUUAGUGAUCACUGAGUCCCCUUGAGCAGUGAGUCUCAUUCUUCUCAGUAAAUCUUCUCGCUGUGUAGUGAGAAAACUGAGGGCUGGAGAGGCUCUGCGACCUGCCUAGGACCACAGAACUCGAGAAUUACGUGUACCAGAGACUGUUUGAAUGCUAUGCGUUUAACGGGACACAGCGCCUCCUGGACAGACUCAUCUACAACCAGGAGGAGUACAUCCGCUUCGACAGCGACCUUGGGGAGUACAGGACGGUGACGGAGCUGGGACGGCGUACUGCUGAGUACUGGAACAGCCAGAAGGACAUCCUGGAGCUGGAGCGGGCCGAGGUGGACAGGGUGUGCAGACACAACUAUGAGCUGGAGGAGCCACUCAUCCGGAAGCGCCAAGGCUGGAGUGCUGUGGCACCAUCAUGGCUCACUGCAGCCUCAACCUCCUGGGCUCAAGUGAUCCUCCUGCCUCAGCCUCCCAUGUAGCUAGAACUACAGAUACAUGUACCACCAUGUCUGGCUAAUUUAUUUUUCUUUUUAGAGAUGGGUUCUCACUAUAUUGCCCAGGCUGGUCUCAAACCCCUGGGCUCAAGUGAUCCUCACGCCUGCCUCCCAAAGUGCUAAGAUUAUAGGCAUGACCACCAUGCCUGGCCUUUUCUGCCUUCUGAGGAGGAAAAAGGUACUAGUGGCAGAGAUCCAAAAGAAAAGUUGCCAGUGGCAGUGUGGAAAUUGACCUGAGAACAACAGAACAAGCUGGGGCACAAAUCCAAAGAUGCAAAGGGAGGCAACACCUGGUUAUCUGCGAGAUCUUCACGGGACCUGAAGACACAUCCUUUUGGAAAAGGAAGGGAUUUCUACUACUCAAGCAUGUAGGGGCUCAGGAUAUU